UCUUACAUGGUAUCAGUGAGCUUCAUAGAAAGAGUGGGCUUCCAUCUUUCCCUCAUCCCUCCUUGCAUCUUUUACGAUAUCAAUGAGUCCGAUGCCAUCCUUCCAUCCGUGCAAUAGAGAUCUUUUUCCCGCAAAGAUCUUCAUUUCCAACCUUCUCCCCUCCCGCCUAUCUCACUCCCACAAAAUCCAAGCGUAUAGACACGGUCAAGUAUGGACAAAUAACCAAGUAAUAUGGGUAUAGGAUUGACUGCUCCUUCACUGCAGGCACAACCUUCUCAAUGCAUCUCUUAGACCAAGAUGAUGAUCUACACCCUUAUAGAUGGUGGCAUCUAUGAUGAUCAACACCCUUUUGUGUGGAAGUUUUAGCAGUUGAAACUGAUGAUAGGCACAACUGAUUGUGUUUUAGUAGUUGAAAUUGAGGUAGAACUGAUUGUGUUUUGUUUAAAGUAUUUGUACAUGAUUUCUAUUAAAGAGCAAAAAGAACUAAACACUAUUUUUGUUAAAAGUGCUUGUUGAACACGGGAAUGUAUUUAUGCCUACUGUUGGUUCUUUUAUUCUGCUUAGCAAAGAGAUGGAAUGUAUUAAGUCACUUAA